CCUUUCCUACCUGAGGCACAGGUCUUUAUGUACAGUAGAAAAUUGUUAUCUUUUCUCCCUGUUUGAAUGUAACAGGUAUUGAGUAAUGCUGUCUCGUGUGUUGACACGUGAGCCAGGAGGUGCCCCAGACCCUGGAGAGGUAUUGAUGUAGUGCAACCGCCGGCUAGAAGUCUGGUGUUUGGUUUCUGUCUGCUCUUUAGCUUCUCCCUUUGCCUCCAGAGAAGCUGCAUGUUGUCCCAAUUUGUUCUCCAGGUGUUAUCUUGCUACAAACAGAAGUAGCUCUGUCUUGUUCCUGGUGAGACUCAAAGCUCUGAGAAGAUGCCCUGCCCCAUAGGUUUCCUUUUCCUGAUGAAAACCAGUGCAGAAAGUGCUCCUCAUGGGGCACCAACAUGCUCCAGCAUCUCUCAACCCCUCCCGUGGGUGGAUGCCUGCAAAUCUGAAGGACCAGAUGUAUAAAUUCAGUAGAACAUGCAAAGAAGAUGUGCCACAUUUUGCUGAGAAAAUAAGAGAUCUGAUCUGAAGAUCUGGUGGGAAAUCCCUGAAUAAAACUUGGCCUUCCUUGCUGGCUGCAUGCUUUGGAGAAGGAUUCUUUGUGCAGAGCUGGGUGCUCCCCAUGAAUAACUGGACCCAACCUAAAACCAGAAGGAAGUAUAUUUAAAAAAAACAGAGGUGUGGUAAUGACAUUAUCAUGCUUUAUGUGCAUUGUGCAAUCCAUGAUGUGUGCGUGGCUCCUGAAGAGCCUGCUCCCCAGUCACGGCUAAAUCACCCCUUGAAAACAACGAUAAAAUCCUAGUAAGGUGGCUGGCUAGAGGGGUUUGUUCCUUUUCCCCAGGAAAAUUAUAUUCACCACAAGCAAGGGUGUAUUUUUGUGGACGGGAUGCUUAUGUGGCAGACAUGGUGGCUUGUAUACAUCUGAGCUGAAAGUUUUGCGAAGUUUUCUUUUCCAGUUUUCUUUAUCACCUCUAAUUGCCCUGACGAUGACCAUGUGAACAGAUGGUAAGAAACAGAACAGUUUCACAUAGAGGGCACUGAGAACCUGUGAUUACCUACAUUAAUAGCUAAAUAAGUGUCUCCCCACAAACUUGUUUAGCAAUUUACACCUUUCAAAUUGCAGUUGUGCCAGGUGGGGGGUUUAAUAUUAAGAAAUUGCUUUCAUGUUCAACUUGAUGCAAACUAGAGUCUAGAAGAAGGGAACAGAUUUGGCAAUACCCGUUUUUGAGCUCUAGCUCACUGGUCCAAAUUUAACCCAUUCCUGCACCGGUGGAAGUUCUUAAAGGCAAUAUGAAAAUGCCUCUUUUUCCACCUUUCCUACAAAAAGCAUAUGUACUUUUAUUUAACUGUGGAAUGAUUCUUUCUUAUCUGUAAUAAUUCUGCAGGCAUUGGAGAAUGAUGUUGGAAUAGAGAAAUGAAACAGGGAAGUAUGAACUUCUCUGCUUUUCUGUGCAUGAGGAUUAAAUACUUACGAGGAAGAUCUGCUAACAUUUUAUGAUUUUAUAUGUCAACAUCUCCAAACAGUACAUUAAAGAACAAUAAUCCAACA